CCUACGGGUGGCAGCAGUGAGGAAUAUUGGACAAUGGACGCAAGUCUGAACCAGCCAUGCCGCGUGCAGGAAGACGGCUCUAUGAGUUGUAAACUGCUUUUGUACGAGGGUAAACGCAGAUACGCGUAUCUGUCUGAAAGUAUCGUAAGAAUAAGGAUCGGCUAACUCCGUGCCAGCAGCCGCGGUAAUACGGAGGAUUCAAGCGUUAUCCGGGUUUAUUGGGUGUAAAGGGUGCGUAGGCGGUCGGAUAAGUUAGACGUGAAAUCCCGAGGCUCAACUUCGGAACUGCUUCUGAUACUGGUCGGCUAGAGAGUAGUAGGGGUAGGCGGAAUGUAUGGUGUAGCGGUGAAAUGCUUAGAGAUCAGACAGAACACCGAUGGCGAAGGCAGCUUACCAAGCUACUACUGACGUUGAGGCACGAAAGCGUGGGGAGCAAACAGGAUUAGAUACCCUUGUAGUC
rnacentral:rRNA from 1 species